GACGGACGCUGGCGGCGUGCUUAACACAUGCAAGUCGAACGGAAAGGCCCUGCUUUUGUGGGGUGCUCGAGUGGCGAACGGGUGAGUAACACGUGAGUAACCUGCCCUUGACUUUGGGAUAACUUCAGGAAACUGGGGCUAAUACCGGAUAGGAGCUCCUGCUGCAUGGUGGGGGUUGGAAAGUUUCGGCGGUUGGGGAUGGACUCGCGGCUUAUCAGCUUGUUGGUGGGGUAGUGGCUUACCAAGGCCUUGACGGGUAGCCGGCCUGAGAGGGUGACCGGCCACAUUGGGACUGAGAUACGGCCCAGACUCCUACGGGAGGCAGCAGUGGGGAAUAUUGCACAAUGGGCGGAAGCCUGAUGCAGCAACGCCGCGUGCGGGAUGACGGCCUUCGGGUUGUAAACCGCUUUCGCCUGUGACGAAGCGUGAGUGACGGUAAUGGGUAAAGAAGCACCGGCUAACUACGUG
rnacentral:rRNA from 1 species